rnacentral:rRNA from 1 species
AAAGGAAUUGACGGGGGCCCGCACAAGCGGUGGAGCAUGUGGUUUAAUUCGAAGCAACGCGAAGAACCUUACCAGGGCUUGACAUUUACCUGGCGUCAUAUGGAAACAUAUGAUUUCCUUCGGGACGGGUAAACAGGUGGUGCAUGGUUGUCGUCAGCUCGUGUCGUGAGAUGUUGGGUUAAGUCCCGCAACGAGCGCAACCCUUAUUCUUAGUUGCCAUCACUACGGGUGGGCACUCUAAGGAGACUGCCGGUGACAAACCGGAGGAAGGUGGGGACGACGUCAAAUCAGCAUGCCCCUUAUGUUCUGGGCCACACACGUGCUACAAUGGCCGGUACAGCGGGUUGCGACCCUGCGAAGGCGAGCUAAUCCCUCAAAUCCGGUCCCAGUUCGGAUUGCAGGCUGCAAUUCGCCUGCAUGAAGUCGGAAUCGCUAGUAAUCGCGGAUCAGCAUUGCCGCGGUGAAUACGUUCCCGGGCCUUGUACACACCGCCCGU